GCCAGAAAAUGAAAGGGUGUGGGAGAAAUGAAUCUCAGACAUUAUUACCACCCACGCAAGCAGCGAGAGCAGAAAUUUCAUGUGCAGCCAACGCACAGUGUUGGGAGAUUUGGAGAGUACAAUGGCGAUGCAUGGAGGACUGGCUGGAGGGCAACCAGUCGGAGCAUUAUUCUUCUGCUGACAGUGCAGUGGAUUAGAGCUCAGUAAUCACCUUCCCCACAGCUCGUGGCUGGAGUCCUGCACAGCCAAGGCUGAGCUGUCAAUGGGAUCAUGGCUCCAGCCCAAGCGAGCCAAAUCGCUGACCAGAGGAGGGAAAAGAGACUGCUGGAGAGGGAAAUGCUAUCCACAUCCGCUGGGAUCCCUGCAGCUCCACACGUGUUUCAGCUCCUCCUAAGAGGAGGAAUGUUAAAAUCCAGACAAGAUUCUUGCAAGGGGGAUUUUACCCACCUGAACCAUUCAUCUUUGCCAAUACAUUUUUCUCCCUGCUCAUUUCUCUGAAGGGCUUAGCCGACAAGAGCAGCUGAUCAGCUGAUAAGGCUCUGGUUCACAGUAUGAUUUAUUUCAGCUAGGCACUGGCAUUAUUUGUACAUCAUCUGAGUCAGGUUGGCUCCUUGAAAACAAGAGUUAGAGAAAACACAACAUGCAAAAGGGCUAAUGCAAAAGGAGAGGAAGAACGAAAAAUAUAUUAGGUGCAGUAUCAUUCUCUAGACAGUAGGGAGAAAAGGAAAUGGAGAAUGGGUCUCCACUGGACCAAGGAGGGGCAAAGCACUUAGUGUAGGCAGUGCACUGGGGCAGGUCCAGGGUGGGCCAGGAGUUGGGAUGUGUAGAAGAGAGACUUAUAAUAUCUUCCCUCUUUUUCUGUGAGAUAGCGGUGAUGUCAUCACCCUUUGACUCUACUGGUCCAGAGCUGGUGAACUUCCAGUUAUCUCACUAGAAGCUUAGAUGCUCCUUUCCAGCUAGCUAAUUAAUCUCAUUCACUGGGAAAUUAUACUGAAAUCCUGUGUGUUCAGACUCCCAGCUUUGUUCCCUAGAUUGCAAAAACACAGAUCUUCUGGUGAAGGUACAGCACAAACUUGAAAUACACUUUCAUUUGUCUCGUUGACGUUUAGCUGUUAAAAGCAAAAACUGAAAUAUCAUUCUUGAUAGUACAUGAUAUGAUAACACCUCUACCCAGCCAAACUGGUUCUUGAACCAGUUCAGAUGAUCAAGGAGGAAAAGAGAAGCGUAAGCUACUUCGGUUGAACUAGUAUAAAUUGGAGGCUAAAAAUAUACAUGUAUGUGUAUGCCAAAUUAUUCAUCAGAUGUCACAGGAUUAGUUUCAAGAAGCUGCAUGCAAAUAAAUAUACAUGUAUGUGUGUGCCAAAUUAUUCAUCAGAUGUCACAGGAUUAGUUUCAAGAAGCUGCAUGCAAACAAUAUGACUCAUACUUCUACCUGGCGUCGUGUAACAGAUGCUGUCAAUAUAUUUUGUUUCAUGUUAAUGCUGUAAAUUCUUGUUAAACACUUUUCAGAAUUUUUUCUUCCUUCCUAUAGUGCCAUCUUUCAACUAGCACUCUGAUUGCUUUUUGGUGUAAUGAUGCAAGACCUGAUUUUAGAGACAGCUAACUCUGGUGAUGUGCUGUGUUAUUAUAGUGCCACCUAAUACCUCAUUCAUUUGAUACAUUAGGUAGUGUACUACAUCAACAAGACAAAGUGCUCACAUCAUUUCUAUAGAGAUGGAAUUUUUCAGUGGCAAGCAUGAAUUCAGGGUAAAAGCUGUAUCUGCUGCAGUGCCAGAAUGCCCCUUGGCUUUGUCUUUUCCACUUUAUGAAACUUGCUAGGCAAUUCAAAACCAAGGAGACCUAUUAAGAAAAAAGGAUGAAUUCAUCCAUUAUAAUCUUAACAUGAUAGAAUUCGUGGUCUUUGUAUAUAUGUACCAUCAUCAAAAUAAGAAAAGGAAAAGAGUAAUAUAUUUCUGGAAUAUAUUUAUUUUAUUAUCUUAUAAAGCAGCUAUCUCCAGGACAGCUGAUAACUAAAUACUGUGUUUUGAGUAGUUAUAUAAAUGACAAACAAACAGAAGUGACCUCUAAAAUAAAUCCUAAUAUAUGUCACAGAAAGCAUAAAUGUCUGCAGUUAACAGUCAUUCUGAAAAGCAAAGGCAUCAGUGUCACACAAAGAAUAGGUUCCCUGAGGUUCUCCCCUCUGGAGAGAUGCACGCUAAUGAAGUCCAGUGCAACAGCACCAGCAGGAGCAAAUGACUCACCUGAACUCAGGUUCUGUGACAGAACAUAAAAGGGAGGUAAUGAAUCAAGUAACUGGCUCCCAUACCAGUAAGAAUAUUUAGGUAUUGUCCCUAUUGCUGAUGUAGGAAUCCCUGAAGCAUCCCGAGUCCUGUAGCUUGCAUCCAUGUUUGCACUCUUACAGUGCCUCUGUAAUUCCCCAGCUAUCCACCUCAACCGCUCACAGGGGACAUCCCAAGGCAUUUGCACCAGGUCCCCCUUACUUGCACCAUUCCUGAUGGGAGAGACCUCCAUCUGCACAUGAUGCAAGGAUAGAGCAUGGCUCAUUCCUCUGAGUUCAUCGCUACACAACUGCUCUCCCUGAGCCAGACUGCCGCUCUGACUGGCAGCUGUGGUUCACUUUUCCUCUAAGGUAAAGAGGGCAGCUGUCUAAGAGAGGUGAGAUGGUCUCAUUACCAAAGUAUACCGAGUGUACCUGUAGCUGAAGGUACACAACAUGCUUUUCACACACCACCACUCCUUUUCCUUGGCCAGGUCCCAUUGUUCAUGUUUGUUGUUCAGCAUUUCCCUGAUCAUUGCUUAAAUUCCCCCAGUUACUGCCUUUCUUCUGUAGGCACCAGUGGCUUGCUGCCAGUGGAGGACACCUCGCAGCCAGCUGCUGCCUGUUUGACAUCUUUAGUGGACUGCCUGUGAGUAGCAGAGACUUGUAGCUGCAUAAAGGUGUGUGAUGUCGAACUCCUAUCCUCAGCAGAAGUGGACUGAGAGCAGGAAGUUAUGUAUCCCUCGCAGCAUCUUUUCCAUGCACAGCCAUAGCCUGCAUAAUGACCUCUCUCUCACAGCCUCCUUGGGACAGGUCACUUCUGAGAUACAUCUACUUUCCCUGCAAAUGAAUUCUGCAAUUGGGAACUGCCGUCCUUGGCUUGGUCGUGGGCCUCCUUCAGCUUUUUUGCCUUUACCUGCCAUUGCAUCCAACUACAGACCUUUCCCUGCAAGGUCAUCCAUGAUUUCGUAUGUGACAGCUGUGGUUCAGCUUCCCGAAAUUACAUCCUCAGAGGCACUCCUUCCAGGUGGAUGUAAAGACCACUAUCAUCUCCAAGUGAUGCUCUGGGCAGAGGGCUCCUGAGUUGUAAGACAGGCUGAGCAGCUUUGUCUCCUUUUCUUCAGCCUUUUGUGCCUAAGUAUUGCAGUAUUGUCAGGCAGUCCUGUGGCUAUAUAGUGAGGAUGAUGAGGGAAUUUAGCUUUGAGACAGAGUGGGAGCUACGAGCAUAGCUGCAGCUUAGAGAUCUUCCUUCCAUUCAGACCAUCCUGCAGAGGUGGCUAUUGAUCCACUUGUCCUUGUGACCUUAGCAAUCAGGGCUUCUGACACUGGACAAGUUCGUCCUAUUGCCUACAAUGGGCAGAGCAACAGAAUCUCCAUCUCCAAAAUAUACUCACUUUUGUGUUCAUUGUCAUGCAAGAUCUCCAGGCUAUGUAGAAGACUGUGUCAUGAAGACUGAUCUCAUCCCAAAGCCACUGGAUCCUGCAAUUAUAGUUUCGCGUUGCUAUUCAUUCCUGAUGGUUCAGAAGAGGGACCUUGGCCUCACACAAGCCAUGGGUUGAGGCUUGGAAGAAUUUCUGUGUCUUUGUACGGUCAGAAGACUCAUUGAGAGUGGCAAAGGGUAUCCUGCAUAUAGAAGGAGCAACCAACAACCAUCCGGGCUACCCAAUAUUGUGACAUACUGGAAGAAAGCUAUGCAGAGUUAAAGGUGGAAGGAUGACCCUGUGCUAAGAAAUGGGGGUGAAGAAGACCUGGCUUCAUUUCCAGCCUUUAUCAUGGACUUCCUAUGUAAUGUGAGAUAAGUUACUAAGCUCUUUGUUCAUCAUGUCAUGUUCUGUGAAACCCGGAUAAUAAUGUUUUCUUUUCCUUUUUUAUGCCCUCAUUCUUGCCUAAUAAAACAGUCUGCUUUCCAGCUUAAUAUAGAGUUUGUAUUUGUACAGCAAAUAAGCAAGUAAGCAUGUGAAUACAGAACUCCCUUUCCAAGGCUUCAUAUUUGUUCAUAUUCAAAGCUCACUCAUAAAUGUAAAUGGCAUAAAUCUGUCUGCCUGUGUAUCCAGUUGCAGGUGUAUUCAGGUCAGAAUAGUGACCUGGAAUUGCUUCAAACUGUACUUGAUAAAUAACAUAUCAGUUUUCAAGACUUAAAAGUUCAAUAAGAAUUAAGCUAGCUUUUUCUUUAUUUCAUGUUCAUUAUCAACUAGUGAGGAAGGUUCAUUUCACUGUAUAGCUCUAUGACUUAAGUUAUUUGCCUGAAAUGUUAGAUUUGAUUAGAAUCCUGAAUCUAGUCCCUCCAUUUAUCUAUUGCUUUAUCUCAAGGAGCCAGUAACUGCAGAAAUCAAGAGGUUAUUUCUCUAUCUCCUUCCCUGGAAAUCCUAGAAUAAUAAAUAACAUUUUAGUGUAAGUAUCAACUGGGAAUUCUUAACUGU